rnacentral:rRNA from 1 species
CCCUUAGAUGUCCUGGGCCGCACGCGCGUUACACUGAUGCAUUCAACGAGCUUAUAACCUUGGCCGAGAGGCCUGGGCAAUCUUGUUAACGUGCAUCGUGAUAGGGAUAGAUUAUUGAAAUUAUUAAUCUUGAACGAGGAAUUCCUAGUAAAAGCAGAUCAUCAAUCUGCAUUGAUUACGUCCCUGCCCUUUGUACACACCGCCCGUCGCACCUACCGAUUGGAUGGUCCGGUGAAGCCUCGGGAUUGUGGUUCUUGCCGCUUUAUUGUGGCGUGACCGCGAGAACUUGUCUAAACCUUAUCAUCUAGAGGAAGGUGAAGUCGUAACA